ensembl:lncRNA
GGUCAGGCCAGAAGGGCUGCCAGCAACACCAGCUUAUCAACACCUUUGAUAUUCCCAGGGGUUGGAGUUCAUCCCUAGAAGGUCUCACAGGUGUUACUCCUCCUUAUAUCCUUGAAGCAACUUGGCCACCGAGAAUUGCUGGGUAUGAUUUACAAAGCUCAGAUUUGGGUAUUUGGCAGGCUCCUUCUUCCUCAGCAGGGAGAAGCCAAAUCCCCUUUGCUGAGGGUGCAAUUUAAAUCACAGUCAAGUUCACUUGGUGGCCACAAGUCAUGGAAGGGGUGGCUGGGGUGGUGAGUUCAUGCAGGGCCAUCGGGUCUAGGAGAAAAACGGCAAGGGAGAAAACAAAGGUGAAGGUUUUUUUUUCCUCUAAUUAAUUCCCUAAACCAGUUCAGUGGGGUUCAAGCAAGUACUAGAAAGCUUUCCCCUUUUGGCAUGAGCUCGAUCAGCUGAACGGCAACAUGUGACCACAAUCCAAGGCAACCUUUGUUUGCAAGACCAAGAGUGGAUCUUUUUGAUUUAUAUUUUUUUUCUUUCCCACAGCAAGCUUUUAGGUCUGCAGCAGCCCUUCUCCAUGGGAACAGGAGAUCCACUGUUUACUGGCUGGCUGAAAUACACCACCAGGCAUCAAGAUUCACACUAAAUGCUGAAGAAACAUGAUCCUACUUAAUUUGAGAGGAAGGCUCAUGUAAAAUACCCAUUCAAGGUGGAGCAACCUCUGCACCAUGAGGGAAAAAGACAAAAUUUAAAGCAUCUAAAAGAUAUUAUGAUGUCUUCUACCAAAUCUUCCUCUUUUUAUCUAGAAUCAGCUGUUUCCAUCACUGCAGCAACAAUUAUGCUCAAGAUAACCGUGCUCAGGCUAUCGCUGCCAUACAGAAGCACCGGCUUGCAGGUUGUAAUCAGACAUUCACUUCCUGCCCUUCUGAAGUUGGGUUAUUCCUGCUCAGGCCAUCUGUGUAGUUCUACCCCAGGUUGGGAUGUACUGAGGGCAGGUAUAUCCCAUGCAGUCAUCCAGCCCCGCACUGCAUCCCUGGGACCUGCAGCCAAGCCCCAGAGGGACGUGCUCGCUAGGAAAGACCCAGAAAGGAUGAGACAUGCACUUUCUCACACUGACACACAGCUUUAAGUAUCUAAGUCAAUCCCUGCUCCUGCUCAAUCUUAGCUGGCAGCCAUUUGCAACAGACAUUUUCCAAAUGCUUCCUGCAGCGUUCCCUGCUCUCCCACACUACAAUAAUCGUUACACUAUUUUUACUCGAGAUCUGAGAACGUGUCAGGGAGAGACAAGAGCUUUUUGGGAGGCAGUCUGGCACAGGGAAAACCAGCACUGCUACAGAGCAAACCCUACGUGGUGACCCUGUGG